ACAGUGGUGGAUCAGUGGUAGAAUCCUCACCUUCCAGGAAGGAGACCUGGGUUCCAUUCCCAGCCAAUGUA
rnacentral:tRNA from 1 species